UGGGGAAUAUUGGACAAUGGGCGGAAGCCUGAUCCAGCCAUGCCGCGUGUGUGAAGAAGGCCUUUUGGUUGUAAAGCACUUUAAGCGAGGAGGAGGCUACUAGUACUAAUACUACUGGAUAGUGGACGUUACUCGCAGAAUAAGCACCGGCUAACUCUGUGCCAGCAGCCGCGGUAAUACAGAGGGUGCGAGCGUUAAUCGGAUUUACUGGGCGUAAAGCGUGCGUAGGCGGCUGAUUAAGUCGGAUGUGAAAUCCCCGAGCUUAACUUGGGAAUUGCAUUCGAUACUGGUUAGCUAGAGUGUGGGAGAGGAUGGUAGAAUUCCAGGUGUAGCGGUGAAAUGCGUAGAGAUCUGGAGGAAUACCGAUGGCGAAGGCAGCCAUCUGGCCUAACACUGACGCUGAGGUACGAAAGCAUGGGGAGCAAACAGG
rnacentral:rRNA from 1 species